rnacentral:misc_RNA from 1 species
AAAUUAAACGUUUUUCGGAGUUUCUCGGAAAGCGACUAAAUGAUAAAAGAUAUUCAGAAUUUCUAGGAAAAAGAAAUCAUGUCCAAAAACGUUAUUCGGAAUUUCUUGGAAAAAGAUUUUAUCCCAGAAAACGCUAUAGCGAUUUCCUUAUGGGAAAACGUUACAGCGAUUUCCUAAUGGGGAAACGAAAUAUCUGGUCAAAGAAAAGACAGGGGGAGUGGGUUGGAAAAUGAACUUUUAUAUCGGAACAAUAUUGUAUUGAAAAUUUGAAACAUAUCAACCAUUUCUUUCUAUCCAAUCUUCUAUGAUGUUCAAAGAUUAUAUCGACGGAUAAACCUGCAUACUUGUUUAUAUAUCUAUAGUUGCUCAAUAAAAAAAUAUUUAAUGUG